ensembl:lncRNA
AAAUAUUACAGAUGACUUUGAGGAAGUUUCCAGACUGAGACCCGAGUGUUGAAAUUGCUGUAACUCCUCCAUUACGUCAGCAAAGGAAAGGGGAAGUUAAUUACAAAGGCUACAUCAGUCGUGCAACAAUCUCACGGUCCUAUAUUCACUCGAUUCAACACGCUCUUUGACACAAUGAUGUUCCAGGUCCAUACAACCAGAAAAGUACAUUUAUUUGUAUCCAUGCUGGUGGUUUGUUCCUCAGUGUCUGAUGGACAAAUUACAACUGGACCCCCUGGACCCCCUGGACCCCCUGGACCUCGUGGACCCCCUGGAACCAGUGGAUUCCCUGGAGCCAGAGGAUCUGUUGGAGCCAGUGGAGCCAGUGGACCCCAAGGAACCCGUGGAGAGAGUGGACCCCCUGGAAAAGAUGGACCCCGUGGAGCCAGUGGACCCCCUGGCACUAGUGGAUCACCUGGCCAGGAGGGACCUACUGGUCCCCCAGGAAUCUGCACCUAUUCUGAAGGAUGUGAGACAAGCACUUUUGAUCAAAAUGGACUGACAUUGAUUGCUAUAGUAGGAUGUGUUCUUGCUGUCCUGGAUGCUGCUGCCUUGAUUGCUGUUGUUAUUUUCCAGAUCAAGAAGAGAAACACAGCAGUGAGAGACUCCGGAGUGCAUUCCCAGAGGCCUGAUAUGGACCCUCCUGAUGAUACAUACACAGCUCUGAAUCUCAGAACAAGAUCACCUGAUUAUGACACUCUUGAUCAUUCCAGGAACCCACCAAGAGCACGUGGCCGAAGCCAUCAGUGAAUACUGAAGCCUCUGCAAACUCCAGCUGAUGUUGAACUUGCAUAACUCCAUACACCUUAGGAUAGCAACCAACAGGGGACAGUGUUUUACAAACAUAGAUACUGAUCUUGUGUGUGUGUGAAUAUGUGCAUGCGCGCAAGUGUGUAUGUGCAUACAAUGUAUUUGAGGGGAUUAGGACAUAUGAUAUAAGUGAGAU